rfam:Asian citrus Psyllid, Diaphorina citri - Florida Strain, whole genome shotgun sequence.
GCCUAGUUAGCUUGGUUGGUAGCGCGUCUGUCUUAUAAGCACUAGGCCGCGGGCUCGAUUCCUGCCCGGGGCG